UGUUUAAAAUUUCAUCUAUUUUUACUGUUAAAAUUGGUUUGGCUGACAAAAUAACUAGACAAUGACACAUGGUGUGUCAUGUGUACCUCAUGUUGACAUACAAUGACCGAUUUUUAAUAGUUAAAAUGAAUGAAAAUUUAAAAA
rfam:Gossypium hirsutum cultivar TM-1 chromosome 13, whole genome shotgun sequence